CGUGUGGUUCUAUUUUGUUGGUUUUUGGAGUCGCCGUAAUGAUUAAUAGGGACAGUCGGGGGCAUCAGUAUUCAAUUGUCAGAGGUGAAAUUCUUGGAUUUAUUGAAGACUAACUACUGCGAAAGCAUUUGCCAAGGAUGUUUUCAUUGAUAAGGAACGAAAGUUGGGGGAUCGAAGACGAUCAGAUACCGUCGUAGUCUCAACUAUAAACUAUGCCAACUAGGGAUCGGACGAUGUUAUUUGAUGACUCGUUCGGCACCUUUCGAGAAAUCAAAGUGCUUGGGCUCCAGGGGGAGUAUGGUCGCAAGGCUGAAACUUAAAGAAAUUGACGGAAGGGCACCACCAGGGGUGGAGCCUGCGGCUUAAUUUGACUCAACACGG
rnacentral:rRNA from 1 species